rnacentral:rRNA from 1 species
UACGUAGGUGGCAAGCGUUGUCCGGAUUUACUGGGCGUAAAGAGCGCGCAGGCGGUCGUUCAAGUCGCGUGUGAAAGCCCCCGGCUCAACUGGGGAGGGUCACGCGAUACUGAUCGACUCGAAGGCAGGAGAGGGUAGUGGAAUUCCCGGUGUAGUGGUGAAAUGCGUAGAUAUCGGGAGGAACACCAGUGGCGAAGGCGACUACCUGCCUGUUCUUGACGCUGAGGCGCGAAAGCUAGGGGAGCAACGGG